AUUCAGAUGACGAGUCCCAAAUAGGACGAAACGCGCAUCUUGAAU
rnacentral:hammerhead_ribozyme from 1 species